GUGCUCGCUUCGGCAGCACAUAUACUAAAGUUGGAACAAUACAGAGAAGAUUAGCAUGGUCCCUGCACAAGGAGUGAAGCGUUCCAUAUAAAAAAAGAAAAAGGAAGGA